ensembl:lncRNA
ACCAUGUCUGUCCUUUGUACAAGCACGGAGGACAGAGCCAUCUUCUGCGGAACCAAGUCUUGGUUUUGUAGGUCUUUUGGCUGCAAAUGUUGAAUGAGGGUUCCUUUUCUGCAGGCCGUUCUUUCUUGGUUUAACGGUGGAGGCCUGAGAAGUGCUGCAUUCAGUCUUCCAUCUCUCUUCUUGUUCUUGUUCCAGGUGGGAUUUUUCCCUGGUGAGUGCGUGGAGCUCAUCAACGGAAAAAUUCCUGAGGCCCUCAUCGAUUCAGCACCAAAGCCAGGUACGGAUGUUACAUGUGAUGGCGCGGGGAAGUCAAAGGGAGUCGUGUUCUGGGUGUGUUCCGUGUUGAAUAGCUCCUUUAUCCAUCCCACGUUAUCCUCUGUGUUGAUGAUCCUUCAUGCAUCCCACGGGGCAUACGGCUGCUGUUUUGUAGGCAGUGAGAAUGAGGGCUUGGGCAAAUGAUAGGAUCCUCGUAGAAUGGCUUGGGAUGGAAG